rfam:Bacteroides fragilis NCTC 9343, complete genome
UCAGGUGACUAUAGCAUCAGGGUUCCACCUCUUCCCAUUCCGAACAGAGAAGUUAAGCCUGAUCACGCCGAUGGUACUGCGUAACAGUGGGAGAGUAGGUAGUCGCCGUUU